GAUGAAGAACGCAGCGAAAUGCGAUACUUGGUGUGAAUUGCAGAAUCCCGUGAACCAUCGAGUCUUUGAACGCAAGUUGCGCCUCAAGCCAUUAGGUUGAGGGCACGUCUGCCUGGGCGUCACAUAUCGUUGCCUGAUGCCAGUUUCCUCGUGAUGGGUGACUGUGCAGGGCGAAUGAUGGCUUCCCGUGAGCAUUGUUGCCUCAUGGUUGGUUGAAAAUUGAGUCCUUGGUAGGGAGCGCCGUGAUAGAUGGUGGUUGAGUGACGAACGAGACCCAAUCAUGUGAGACCCCUACCGAAUUUGGCCUUCAUGACCCACAUGCGUCUUUGGAACGCUCAUGACGAGACCUCAGGUCAGGCGGGGCUACCCGCUGAGUUUAGGCAUAUCAAUAAGCGGAGGA
rnacentral:misc_RNA from 1 species